GAGCUGCUGGUUAAUAUGCCUCAACACGGGGAACCUCACCCGGUCCGGACAUGGGAAGGAUUGACAGAUUGAGAGCUCUUUCUUGAUUUACUGGUGGUGGUGCAUGGCCGUUUUAGUUGGUGGAGUGAUUCCUCCCUUGAUUCCGUUAACGAACGAGACCUUAACCUGCUAACUAGUCGCGCCGUUUCCGAACGGCGGGAGUCCCAUCCAUGGGUUGUGCUUCGGUACGGUCGUGGAUGGUCUCCCCUCUUCGUGUGGUAAGGUCCUAGAGGGACCCUAGGCGUUUCAUUUUAGCCGAGGGAAGAUUGAGGCAAUACCAGGUCUGUGAUGCCCUUAGAUGUUCUGGGCGGCCCGCGCGAAGCACUGACGGAGGCACUGCGCCUCUCCUUCGCCGAGCAGCGUGUGG
rnacentral:rRNA from 1 species